rnacentral:rRNA from 1 species
AACGAACGCUGGCGGCGUGGAUAAGACAUGCAAGUCGAACGGAUUUUCCGCUGUAGCAAUACAGUGGGAGGUCAGUGGCGCAAGGGUGCGUAACACGUGGGCAACCUGCCCUGAAGUUGGGGGUAGCCCGCCGAAAGGCGGAUUAAUACCGAAUGUGGCUAGCUGCCGAGUGGUGGCGACGCUAAAGCUGGGGCAACCUGGCGCUUCUGGAUGGGCCCGCGGCCUAUCAGCUUGUUGGUGAGGUAACGGCUCACCAAGGCUAUGACGGGUAGCCGGUCUGAGAGGACGACCAGCCACACUGGAACUGAGACACGGUCCAGACACCUACGGUGGCAGCAGUCGAGAAUUUUUCGCAAUGGGGCAACCCUGACGGAGCGACGCCGCGUGGAGGAUGAAGGUCUUUCGGAUUGUAAACUACCUGUCAUUGGUGAACAAAGCACUGCGGUUAACUGCCGUGGUGCCUGCUAGUA